GCCACAUCAUGUUGAAACACUGGUGCCCGUACGAUCACAGAAGUUAAGCAACGUCGAACCUGGUCAGUAAUUAGAUGGGGGAACACUUAGGAAUACCAGAUGCUGUAAG